rnacentral:other from 1 species
CAAAACCUGCUGUGUUCGAGGUGUGAAAAAUCGUUCUUUUACUUUAAUCCAAUAUUAAGGGAGCUUGACCCUCACGAAUGGCUGUCAGGCCGUAAAUCGGAAGGCAAAAGUUCGUAGGAAAGCGCCCACCUCGCCUUUAAAGGUGGAGAACAAAUGAACAUACGGCACAAUAGCGGGUCUUUU